GGUGCAAAGUGUCUUAAAAACAGACCAAAGAGCAGACGUUUCAGCCCAUGCUUUCUUCAGUGCUUCAUUUGGGUGCACUUUGCA